rnacentral:tRNA from 1 species
GGGGGAGUAGCUCUAAUUGGCAGAGCGGCGGUCUCCAAAACCGCAGGCUGUAGGUUCGAAUCCUACCUCCCCCG